UCAGCAGUAUGGGAUACAACCUUACCCGUUGCUCCUUCUUGGAGAACAGUAAAUGAUGAAUGGAGCCUGCAUGACAUGUGAUUAGUGUCUCUGCAGCAACUUGGAGAUGGUGACAAACUCCUUGUUGCUCCUUUAUGAU